rfam:Myotis lucifugus cont2.8642, whole genome shotgun sequence.
GGCGAUUCUCAGGUGACACACCCCAAAUCAGGCUCCCUCCUCUCUGGUUCCAAGUGCGUCACUGGAGAACCGCA